AAUGAUCUCAGUACAAUCUCCCAUCAAUCGAAUGGCACCACUCGACGUUAUCUUGCAUAGCUUACGCGCUACCCGAGUGGAAAUUUUAGUCAGGUCUUGAUCAGACAGUGAUCAGGUUACCUUAUCAGAUUUUGAUCAGAUUGGAUUUUCUUUCGCAUUCUGACGAAACAUUAAACAUCACCGAGAACAACACAGAUUUAUAAAAAUGUCCGAAUAUGAUGAGGUGUAUGAAACCGUCCGAAUGGGAGCGGUCGGGGCUGGUGGCAUUUUCGGGACAGCAAACUAUGGCCUCGGCGGAGGGGCUGUGGGUGGCAUAGCUGGUGGUGCAAUCACCGAUACUGUUUUCUCCGUAGUGACAACCAGACCUCACGGUUAUAUUAAAGACAUGACUGACACCAUGAUGGAUGGUGCCAAAGGCAGAGUGCCAAUUGUAUCGGCAACAAGGGCAGGUCGCAGGUUGGUAACAGAUGGCGUCAGUGGAAUGGUGGCCGGGAAACUUUUCUGCCCAGGCAACGCUACCUUCGUACUUUCAUAAUAACUUACUAAAUAUUGGGAAUUUUAGCCCAAGAAUAUCAACAUAAUGACGUCAAAAGUUUUUGAUAACACUUCUUUAAUGCGUCAGCAAUUUAAAAAAUUAUCCACUGAUAGUGAGAAACGAAAAUGAAUCCUUCAUCAUGAGUGUAAACAACGGAUGGAUCAAGAGUCGUUUUGACAAUAUUUUAGAAGAAAAAUAAACAAUUGUUGUUAUCAAGAUACCCAAA